CCUACGGGAGGCAGCAGUGAGGAAUAUUGGUCAAUGGACGCGAGUCUGAACCAGCCAAGUCGCGUGAAGGAUGACUGCCCUAUGGGUUGUAAACUUCUUUUAUAUGGGAAUAAAAUGUUCCACGUGUGGGAUUUUGUAUGUACCAUAUGAAUAAGGAUCGGCUAACUCCGGGCCGGCCGCCGCGGUAAUACGGAGGAACCGAGCGUUUUCCGGAUUUAUUGGGUUUAAAGGGAGCGUAGGUGGGUUGUUAAGUCAGUUGUGAAAGUUUGCGGCUGAACCGGAAAAUUGCAGUUGAAACUGGCAGUCUUGAGUACAGUAGAGGUAGGCGGAAUGCGUGGUGUAGCGGUGAAAUGCUUAGAUAUCACGAAGAACUCCGAUUGCGAAGGCAGCUCACUGGACUGCAACUGACGCUGAGGCUCGAAAGUGUGGGGAUCAAACAGGAUUAGAUACCCCAGUAGUC
rnacentral:rRNA from 1 species